rnacentral:rRNA from 1 species
UUUAUGGAGAGUUUGAUCCUGGCUCAGGAUGAACGCUGGCGGCGUGCCUAAUACAUGCAAGUCGAGCGAACGGACGAGAAGCUUGCUUCUCUGAUGUUAGCGGCGGACGGGUGAGUAACACGUGGAUAACCUACCUAUAAGACUGGGAUAACUUCGGGAAACCGGAGCUAAUACCGGAUAAUAUUUUAAACCGCAUGGUUCAAAAGUGAAAGACGGUCUUGCUGUCACUUAUAGAUGGAUCCGCGCUGCAUUAGCUAGUUGGUAAGGUAACGGCUUACCAAGGCAACGAUGCAUAGCCGACCUGAGAGGGUGAUCGGCCACACUGGAACUGAGACACGGUCCAGACUCCUACGGGAGGCAGCAGUAGGGAAUCUUCCGCAAUGGGCGAAAGCCUGACGGAGCAACGCCGCGUGAGUGAUGAAGGUCUUCGGAUCGUAAAACUCUGUUAUUAGGGAAGAACAUAUGUGUAAGUAACUGUGCACAUCUUGACGGUACCUAAUCAGAAAGCCACGGCUAACUACGUGCCAGCAGCCGCGGUAAUACGUAGGUGGCAAGCGUUAUCCGGAAUUAUUGGGCGUAAAGCGCGCGUAGGCGGUUUUUUAAGUCUGAUGUGAAAGCCCACGGCUCAACCGUGGAGGGUCAUUGGAAACUGGAAAGCUUGAGU